GAUGAACGCUAGCGGCAGGCUUAAUACAUGCAAGUCGAGGGCCUAGCAAGUAGGACCGGCGCACGGGUGCGUAACACGUAUGCAACCUGCCUGUAUCUGGGGGAUAGCCCGAGGAAACUCGGAUUAAUACCGCAUACCACUGAGGGUUGGCAUCAAUUUUCAGUGAAAGAUUUAUCGGAUACAGAUGGGCAUGCGCAGGAUUAGCUAGUUGGUAAGGUAAGAGCUUACCAAGGCGACGAUCAGUAUCUGGUUUGAGAGGACGAUCAGACACACUGGAACUGAGACACGGUCCAGACUCCUACGGGAGGCAGCAGUGGGGAAUUUUCCGCAAUGGGCGAAAGCCUGACGGAGCAAUACCGCGUGAGGGAAGAAUGCCUAUGGGUUGUAAACCUCUUUUUCAGGGAGGAAUCAAAUGACGUGUACCUGAAGAAUAAGCAUCGGCUAACUCCGUG
rnacentral:rRNA from 1 species